rnacentral:lncRNA from 1 species
AACAAUGAGAACCAAAAGACGGUUAAGGGUUGAUUGUAUGACAUAUGGCUGUCUAGGUAUACACUAAAGUUCGAGUUUCAAAGAUAUCAAAUCUAUCGAUUGACCGAGUGUAUCCGACAUAUGUUCACUACGGAAAGUUCAAAGGGAAACCUAUUUGUCCAGAUGCAAUUGUGAGCGUUACUGUGUUAAAACAAAAUCAGAAAAACUUAGAAGAAUAAAGAAAUGUAUAAAAUAGUAGAGAAUAAGAAAUAUUCUGAGUCCACAAUUUUCUUGUACGUCCUUAAGGAAUUUUAACCCCCUCACACGUUGCCAAGGUAAUGGAAAAUAAACCUUCCUGCAACAGUGGCAAUACAAACUGCAGGAUACCAACGAACUCAAAGAACGAAGCAAAAUCACACUUAUGAAUUUGAG